AGGUUAAAUAUUGAAUAUAGUUAACAUUCACCUUCCACUCUGAGGAGGCUGGCAUUUUCACCGGUUUGUGAACACUCUCGCUUUGGCUUCCCAGGACUCACAGCAGCUGGAAGACACACACAACCUUGAAAACAAGAGCUGGCUGUGAAGAAGAAAAGCCCUAGCACCUAUCAUUCUACUAUCAUCAGACUCUUGUUCCUUUGUAUACAGUGUCUGUUCCUAAGGCUGCUCUCAUAAGCUCAGCGGUCAAACUGUUCCCACUGGACUUUCUUUCUUUGUUAUCCCUUCUAGCCAACUGUCAACGGGUUGCCAGCUCUAACUAGUAGCAAAGAAAUGAGCCACAGUGGACACUUCAGCAAAAGAGGUAUCUUUUGGGUAAUAAAAUGCCUGUCCUUCUUUCA